UUGAGCCUCAGUCAGUGCACAGAGAGGGAAGGAUUCAAACAUUAAUUACAAACCACUAGAAUUACCCCAGAUGCUCAGAUGAAACAAUCUAUACUUGAGAAUAAGCUACUUUAUUAAGAAGGCUUCUGCUGGAUUCAAUGCAACUCAAAGGAAAGGGGUAGCCAGGAGCUCCCCAGAGACUCUGGAGCUGUGGUGCCAUUUGUUACAUAGACAUAAGAUCAAGUUACAGUGAAGAAGAAAGUUUCUUUUUAUUCUGUCCUAGCUUCGCAGUGAGCGCCUCUCUGCCUGGUUUGAUCAUUUUCUUCAUUACUUUUCACAUUCACAAGCUGGAAUCAGCCCAAUUCAGCGUGACCGGUCCUGAUCACCCUGUCACUGCCCGGAUAGGGAAAUAUCUUGGAGAAAUCA